AUCUUACUUUUACUUGGAUAACUGUGGUAAUUCUAGAGCUAAUACAUGCAACCAAGCUCCGACCUUACGGAAGGAGCGCAUUUAUUAAACCAAAACCAAUGAGGCUUUUGCCUGUUGAAUGGUGACUCUGAAUAACUCUGCUGAUCGCAUGGUCCUAGUACCGGCGACAUAUCUUUCAAGUGUCUGCCCUAUCAACUUUCGAUGGUAGUUUAUAUGCCUACCAUGGUUGUAACGGGUAACGGAGAAUAAGGGUUCGACUCCGGAGAGGGAGCCUGAGAAAUGGCUACCACAUCCAAGGAAGGCAGCAGGCGCGCAAAUUACCCACUCUCAGCUCGAGGAGGUAGUGACAAAAAAUAACGAGACGGUUCUCUUUGAGGCCCGUCAUCGGAAUGGGUACUAUUUAAACCCUUUAACGAGGAUCUAUUGGAGGGCAAGUCUGGUGCCAGCAGCCGCGGUAAUUCCAGCUCCAAUAGCAUAUACCAAUUUCUGCUGCUGUUAAAAAGCUCGUAGUUGGAUCUUUUCCGAGGUUUCGGUCUGGCUAUUUCUCCAUGUACUGA
rnacentral:rRNA from 1 species